rnacentral:lncRNA from 13 species
CUUGUCUGAGCUCAGGAGUUCGAGACCAGCCUGGGCAACAUGGUAAAACCCCGUAAAACAUGGUAAAAACUAAAAAUACAAAAAUCAGCUGGGUGUGAUGGAGGGCACCUGUAGCCCCAGCUACUCCAGAGGCUGAGGCAGGAGAAUGGCUUGAACCCGGGAGACAGAGGGUUAGUUUUUCAGACAUCCUUCCAGUAUUUCUAGUUUGAUUCCACUGUGACCUGAGAGCAUAGCUUAUGUGAUUUCAAAUUUCAAAAAUUUAUUGAGGUGUGUUUACAGGCCAAAAUCUUAUCUUUCUUCUUGCAUUCCACGUGCAUUUAAAAUAAAUGUGCAUUUUCUAUUGUUGGGUGGAGAGUCCUAGAGAUGUGUCAGCCUCCUGGGCUGGUGUGUUCAGUUCUCCUGUACCCCUCUGUUGUUGGGUGGAGGGUUCUAGAGAUGUGUCAGCCUCCUGGGCUGGUGUGUUCAGCUCUCCUGUACCCUCUGUUGUUGGGUGGAGGGUUCUAGAGAUUUCUCCUGUACCCUCUGUUGUUGGGUGGAGGGUUCUAGAGAUGUGUCAGCCUCCUGGGCUGGUGUGUUCAGUUCUCCUCUACCCUCUAUUGUUGGGUGGAGGGUUCUAGAGAUGUGUCAGCCUCCUGGGCUGGUGUGUUCAGUUCUCCUCUACCCUCUAUUGUUGGGUGGAGGGUUCUAGAGAUGUGUCAGCCUCCUGGGCUGGUGUGUUCAGUUCUCCUGUACCCUCUGUUGUUGGGUGGACGGUUCUAGAGAUGUGUCAGCCUUCCUAGGUUGGUGUGUUCAGUUCUCCUGUAUCCCUCUGUUGUUGGGUGGAGGGUUCUAGAGAUGUGUCAGCCUCCUGGGCUGGUGUGUUCAGUUCUCCUGUAUCCCUCUGUUGUUGGGUGGAGGGUUCUAGAGAUGUGUCAGCCUCCUGGGCUG